UACGUAGGUGGCAAGCGUUGUCCGGAUUUACUGGGCGUAAAGAGCGCGCAGGCGGUUGAUUAAGUCGAAUGUGAAAGCCCCCGGCUCAACUGGGGAGGGUCACGCGAUACUGAUCGACUGGAAGGCAGGAGAGGGUAGUGGAAUUCCCGGUGUAGUGGUGAAAUGCGUAGAGAUCAUGAGGAAGACCAGUGGCGAAGGCGGGUCUCUGGACAGUUCCUGACGCUGAGACGAAGGCCAGGGGAGCAAACGGG
rnacentral:rRNA from 1 species